UACGUAGGCAGCAAGCGUUGUUCGGAGUUACUGGGCGUAAAGAGUGUGUAGGAGGUUAGCUUAGUCUGGUGUGAAAUCUUCCGGCUUAACCGGGAGGCUGCGCCGGAUACUGGCUGGCUAGAGUAUGGGAGAGGGAAGCGGAAUUCCUGGUGUAGCGGUGAAAUGCGUAGAUAUCAGGAGGAACACCUGUGGUGUAGACGGCUUCCUGGACCAUUACUGACUCUGAGACACGAAAGCGUGGGGAGCAAACAGG
rnacentral:rRNA from 1 species